CUCCUUCGACGGCUGCCUCCUCAGUUUUAUCUUUCUUUCUUUCUCAACAGAGAGAAAUGUUCUCAAAGACGACUUAGAGCAAACGAGACGGAGAGACAACCUCGAGCCCUCAACCACUCCAAGCGCCACAGUGAUCCCACCCCGACGCGAUGUAGUGAUCCCAUAUCUCUUUGUGCGACACCGACACGGCCCCGAUCGGAAGGGUCGUGGACACCGAAGGUCGUGCGAACCCUUUAAACUAACAGCUAAAACUUAGAACUCGUCAAGCUCGAGUUCGACUCCUACCCUUUUCUCGCUCCACCAGCUCUCCGUGGAGUCUCCACCAGCUAAUUGAACAUUGGGGAUUGAUGAGAUGAUGGCCCUUACUGAUUCGAAGCCCUUGGUUAUGAACUACAGAGAAGGAAGUGACGAGGGCUCGAAGGAGUUGCAUAGAUCAGAGAUGGGGAAUAAUGAGUUCAUAAAAUAAUUUGGAGGUGAAGUUGGAAUCCUCUGGGAAAGAAAAAACCAUGGCCAUGAUAAACAAAGAUGAUGAUGUAGGAUAGCUCGAUGGAGACGAGAUCAAAGAUACUAUAAUAGGAACUCACGAAAGGACAUUGAAAGGCAAGCAAAAAAGAAGACUGAUCUCCUGUGUGGCACUUCUAUGAACGGUUGACAGAAAAGAUCAUUGAUGGUAAGACCCGUUGUAAGUGCAAGAAGUGUGGCUCGCUUUUUAUUUGUGAUAGUCAAUAUGGGACAAGAAAUCUGAAAAGGCAUAAUGAAAGAUGCAUUCAUAAGGAUACACGAGAUGUUGAUUAGCUGUUCAUGAACCAUGAUAUUUCUAUAAGAAAUGCUACAUGAUCCUAAACGCUUUCAUGAGUUGUUAAUUGCUGCCAUUAUUAUGCAUGAUUUACUUCUUGUCUUUGUGGAUUAUGUUGGAAUUAGAGUAGUAUUCUUAUAUUUGCGUGAGUGUGUGCCCGUUAAAUCUCGAAACACUGCAAAGGUUGAUGUGUUGAAGGUUUACAAAAAAGAGAAGUCACGGGUUAAGUGCUUGCUUGAGGAAGCUAGUGGUAGGAUUUGUUUGACAUUUGAUUCGCAGACCUCUAUUUCUACUGAUGUGUAUCUCUCUUUGACCGGACAUUUCACUGAUAAAAAUUGGAUUUUGCAAAAAAGGAUUCUGAAUUUCUUCUUGAUGCCACCUUCAUAUACUGGUGUGGCAUUGAGCAACACGAUUACCUUUUUGUUGGCUGAGUGGGGUAUUGAGGGAAGGUUGUUUUACUUUGGAUAAUGCUCCGCAAAUGACACUUUCAUGGGCUUGUUGAGAUCGCAUUUAAAUAUGAAGGAUGCACUCCUAGCCAAAGGUGAAUUCUUUCAUGAACGAUGUUGUACCCAUAUCAUUAAUUUGAUUGUGCAAGAUGGACUAAAAGAGAUUGAUGUUGUGGUAAACAAAGUGCGAGAGAGUGUCGAGUAUAUUAAAGGUUCUCAAGUUAGAAAAAAAAGUUUCUUGAAUGUGCGAAACUCUUAUCUUUGAAUCAGAAAAAAGGCUUGAGACAAGAUGUCCCUACUCAUUGAAAUUCAACUUUUCUUAUGCUUGAAAGUGCAUUCUACUAUCGUCGUGCAUUUCGCCACCUAGAGAUAAGUGACUCUUAUUAUACAAAUUGCCCUACCUCAUUAGAGUGAGAGAAAAUUGAGAAAAUAAAAAAGCUCUUAGGGGUUUUCUAUGAGAUUAUGAACUUGUUUUCUUGAAGUAAGUAUCCAACCGCAAAUUUAUACUUUCCUUCCACUUUCAAAACAUAUGUGAUGCUCAAGGAUAAUAGUGACGGGACAGAUGAAGAUUUGAGAGUAAUGUCGUUGAGGAUGCUAAUGAAAUUUUAAAAGUACUGGUCUGAAUUUUUAGUCAUUUUAUCGAUAGCGGUGCUAUUGGACUUUAGGUAUAAAAUUCAAUUGUGGAUUAGAGUUACAAAAAGUUGUAUGAAGAAUAUACAUCAUAUGAGAGGGGGAAUCGAAUAUUUCCAUCAAAAGAGAAGUUCCUCCUAGAUCCUGAUCAAAAGUCAAUUGAGCUAGAUAUGCUAGAGUAGUUCAAUGAUUACGAUGAUGAUGAGUAUUCAACAUCUUCGAAAAAGUCUGAGUUGGAAAAGCACUUAGAUGAGACAAGGAUCGAUAGAAAGAUGGACGGACCCGGACAUUUUUUAUUACUGGAAGAUUAACUCCUAACGAUAUCCAAGAGUUGCAAGGAUAGCUCGUGAUAUUUUGAGUAUUCCCCGAUCCACGGUUACCUCCGAGGCAGCAUUUAGCUGUGAAGGUCAUGUUCUUGAUCAAUAUCGGAGUUCUUUGAAACCCGACCUUGUGGAAGCACUCAUGCGCUCUCGAGAUUGGCUUUAUCGAUUAACUGAUGGUUAUGGAAUUUCCAUGGAUCAGCUCACUGAAGAUGUGAUGAACUUACAUAUUAUCGAUGAGCCAUCAACUCAGGGGUCCAAUGCUGUGGUUAAUUAAAAAUUAGUAAUGCUUUUAAAAAGCUAAUAUUUCUUUAUCAUGUGAGUGUUACUGAAGUAUCUUUCACAUGUUUGGUCGCAAAGGAUUCUGUUAUCUUAGGUUCCAUUGAAGAUGGCACAUGGAGCUAGGCUUUUUCUUUGGCUGGAUGAGGGCCCGAUGUUUUGCUAAUUUAACUAUUGUCUUUUGUUAUUGAAUGAUGAAAUUAUGGCGAAGUUCAUCAAGUUUGGUUUCUCAUUUUGUUACUCUUAGACUGUUAUUAACCGUGUUAAGUUAGCUUGGAAAAAGAUUAUGAGCUUGCUUAAUAUUUGCAUUAAUUGUCAUUAACAAUGAGCUUGCUUUUUCAAAGCGAUGAGAUGCAUGAUCUACAUGUCUGUGGAGUUGUAAUAAAAGGUAGCUUACAGUUACAGA